UCGAGCGCAGGAAGUCGACGGAACCCUUCGGGGGGAAGUCGAUGGAAUGAGCGGCGGACGGGUGAGUAACACGUAAAGAACCUGCCCUCAGGUCUGGGAUAACCACGAGAAAUCGGGGCUAAUACCGGAUGGGUCAUCGGACCGCAUGGUCCGAGGAUGAAAGGCGCUUCGGCGUCGCCUGGGGAUGGCUUUGCGGUGCAUUAGCUAGUUGGUGGGGUAAUGGCCCACCAAGGCGACGAUGCAUAGCCGACCUGAGAGGGUGAUCGGCCACACUGGGACUGAGACACGGCCCAGACUCCUACGGGAGGCAGCAGUAGGGAAUCUUCCACAAUGGACGAAAGUCUGAUGGAGCAACGCCGCGUGAACGAUGAAGGCCUUCGGGUCGUAAAGUUCUGUUGUAAGGGAAGAACAAGUGCCGCAGGCAAUGGCGGCACCUUGACGGUACCUUGCGAGAAAGCCACGGCUAACUACGUGCCAGCAGCCGCGGUAAUACGUAGGUGGCAAGCGUUGUCCGGAAUUAUUGGGCGUAAAGCGCGCGCAGGCGGCCUCUUAAGUCUGAUGUGAAAGCCCCCGGCUCAACCGGGGAGGGCCAUUGGAAACUGGGAGGCUUGAGUAUAGGAGAGAAGAGUGGAAUUCCACGUGUAGCGGUGAAAUGCGUAGAGAUGUGGAGGAACACCAGUGGCGAAGGCGACUCUUUGGCCUAUAACUGACGCUGAGGCG
rnacentral:rRNA from 1 species